AGCCACACCUGGCACUCCCCAAUUCCCUCACCCACUCCAAACUACUACACUGCCAUCUUUUUUUUUUCUCUCUAACAGCAACAAUUCACUCAUCUACACAAUACAACAAAAACAUAUACAACAGACCACAUACACGGACUGGUACCAAAAAAAAAAAAGAGAACAACAGUAACUCUCACCAAUAUACUACACACAAUCAUCUUCUCCACUAAGACACCAUACACGCACGCACACACAAUACACACGCAGAACACUGCACACACCCACCUUAAUUCUUCUUUUCAACACAACAAUAUUGACGUACACACAAAUAUCGCAGCGCACUGGAAAUCGGAGGGAUUUGAGCGUGAGAGAGGAGAGAAGACGUGAGAGAGAGAUUGAAAUCGAGGAGUGAGGUGGCCGGAGAAAACACGAAUCGAGAGAGAGAGUGAAAACAAGGAGAGAAAGAGGGAAAACUGGUGGUGGCUGACUUCUCCGGCGAUGUCUCGCCAGAAAGACGUUACUGCCGCUCGGAAUCUGAUCUAAUUCUCCUUUUUCUGUUCUUUUUGAGCUCGCCGGAGUUCCAUUAGCUCCGUCCCAUUUCGGGAAAUGCUGAAAUGAUGACAGUUACUCCAAUUUCGGUGAGAUUCAUACAAGGUUAGUUGGAAAUCGGUGAUUUGGGGUUUCGAAUUUGAAAUCUUGGGUUGUUUUUUAUUUCUAUUCGGGUUUGCGGGUCAUUCAUUGUGAGGCUUUUCGUCGUUUUCCAAAUCUAUCCGGUUGAAUUCGAUAUCGAGUUUGGAGUUGUUGGUUAUCGAGGUUCAAAUCAAGGCAUUUCGGAUGCGGUUCUAUCUCUGAUAUAAUGAAAUCAACACUUGAGGUCCAAUCCUUUUACUCCCUCUUUUCACUUCGUUUCGAUUUGGUGCAUUGAUGUUAUGAUUGGAUGAUCUUGUUGAUGUUCGAUAUUGUUUAUCCGUGAACAAUUAAUCAUGGUAUGAAUUUGAUGUUAGCAUAGGUUUGGAUAAUUGCUUUGUGUGAAAAUGGACGUAUAAGAGGGAAUUCGGGGCGGAAUUGAGAAAUUGAUAAAAAGGGUGAGUUUGGAUGAAUUAAGAUUCAUUGAUUUUGGUUUAAUUUGAUUUGAGCAUGAAUGUUGUUGGAACAUGAUAGUAUCAUGAUAGAAUGAAAUUGGUAGGCAAACGGCAGGCUGGGUAGGAAAAUUUAAGAAUAACAAUUUGUUGAGUGAUUGAAUGUGUGUGAAUGAUUUAUUCUAUUUUAUCGCACAAAAAUUGAAAUUGUACUCAUUUGGUCGGGGAAUGCCCCGAGGGAUUUGUAUUGAUGUAUCCGGGGAAUGCCACGAAGUAUGAUAUGCGCGAAGGAGGCUCGUGAUCAAGGCCCGAGUCAUCUAUAAGGCAUUGGACCGCAGUUUUAGGUUAGCUUAGAAUAGGAUUUAUAUUUUUCGCAUUUUUUCUAUUUUUGGACUAGACAUUAUAUAUUUUUGGGAUUCGUUUGCUUGUAUUUGUUUGUUUAGUUGUUGUGUGUUUAUGUGGUUUAUAUAUUCUUAGUGUCAAAAUUAGUCAAUACGCUUCACCAAGCGUUCGUGGUCGAACCACGGGAUCGAGGGGUGCCUAACACCUUUCCCUCGGUCAACAGAAUUCCUUAGUCAGAAUCUUUGUUUGCAAAAUGGUUUUAAAGAGUCAAAUCGUCUUGAAAAGGAUUUUCCAAAGGUGACUUGGCACACCGAAUUAUGUCAAGUGGCGACUCUGAGUUUAAAUGUAAGUAGUCCUUUUCAAAACAAAUCUUUAUUUUUGUCACUUUAAUAAUAAAACUUUUUCAAAGCUUAAAAUUUAUUCUUUUUGUCUUUAUCUUUGUCACUUUAAUAAUAAAACUUUUUCAAAGCUUAAAAUUUAUUCUUUUGGUAAAAAAGGAGUGUGACAACCCCAUUAAGCCAUUGUAAUUCUGUCUGAGCAGAAAUUCAACUCUCGUUUUUCUCCUUUUUUUGCUCUUUUUUCACAAUUGAGCUUUAGGGCACUUUGGGUCGUCUGUGGAAGAAGCUUCAUAACGCAUUAUGGAGGUGUCUGAAUCAUGAAUGGCUUGUAGUGUUGGAAAUUUGACUCGCGAGGAUACGUUCUAUGUGAAAACCGCACUCAAUUUAUCUCCAGAUCUACCCAGGUAUUAUUUCAAAAUCAGACCUUCAAUUUAGUUUCGUCACUUUUUACUUGUUUAGCGCAGUCUCACGAAAACUCUCAUAUCUUGACAUAGGAACAUCAAAAUCAGGAGCCGUUUUUUGCGUUGGAAACUAGACUUGUAGAUUUGCAUCUCCUGCAGAAACCAGCAUCAAAAUGCAUCUGAGUCAUCUCAGAUAUCGCUCCAAAAAUGGUCUUCUAAUCUUGGUUCUCUAGUUAUUUCAGCUUUGCGCAGCGUCGCGAUAAAUUCCAUAUCUUGACGUGGAAGUAUCGGAAUCAGGUUCCGUUUUUUGCAUUAGAAAGUAGAUUCGUAGAUAUAAGUAUAACGCAGAAACGACAAUCAGAUUGCAUCCGAAUCAUAUCAGAUAUCACUCCAAAGAUGGUCUACUAAUCUUGGAUCGCUAGUUAUUUCAGCUUUGCGCAGCAUCACGAUAAAUUCCAUAUCUCGAUGUGGAAGUAUCGGAAUCAGGUGUCAUUUUUUUCAUUGGAAAGUAGAUUUGCAUAUCUAUCUUAUGAGUAAACAACAAUCAGAUUGCAUUCGAAUCAUCCCAGAUAUCGCUCCAAAAAUGGUCUUCUAAUCUUGGUUUGCUAGUUAUUUCAGCUUGGCGCAGCGUCACAAUAAAUUUCAUAUCUCGACAUAGAAGUAUCGGAAUCAGGCGCCGUUUUUUGCAUUGGAAAGCAAACUCGUAGAUCUACAUUAAGUGUGAAAUACAUCAACAUAAAACUUUCAUAUUUUCUCAGGUAAAUUUUUGAAAUUACAGCCUAAAUCUUGCGAUACUCCUUUUUCCUUUAGCAGACUUACGGCUUAAUUUAAUUUCUUUGGCAGGUCUUCAAACACAAAAAGGAUAUCUUCAAUUCUUUGAAAAUAGGUGAACUUCCGAGACCAAACAACGUCAUAUCCUCUAUUUGAAAUAGCAAACGAUGAACAAUACUUUCCUGCUAGCGUCCUUAUCUUGAAAGUUCAUCCUCCGGUAAUAGGUGUCUUCCCGCUUGACAGAGGAUUGCCCGACAUGUCCCUUCAUCUAGACAAAUGGUCGACAAAAUAAGAAAUUGGCAUCCUUGACUCUAUUAAAGUCAUUAAUACUACUGCUUUUGUGCUGCAUUCAUCUACACAUAACAAAGAAUCUGCUGCUACAUAUCACAAAGACUCAAAUAAGGGCCUUGCUACACGGAAUUAUCCCCAAUCAGGUUUUGGUGAGUUUCAUUAUGUUACUAUCUAUUGGGAGUGGAUAGAGGAUGUCCUUAGUUGUAGCAAGGAGGCGCUGGAACGAACUAAGAUUUAUGAUGCUGUUUUUGCCUCUUUAUUCACGUACGACAUCAACGAGAAUGUUUUGCAGGCCUUUUGUGAACUUUAGCAUUCCUCGACUAAUAUAAUAUGUGUUGGCAUUGGGUAGCUUUCUAUUUCAUUGUGGGACAUACGUAUGAUUGGGGGCCUUCUAGUACACAACUUUCUUUGAUGAAGUUCUCUCUUCGGCCAACGAAUUGUCACAAACAGAUCAGCAAGGGAAGCUGUUUUUGCCUAAAACUUGUGCUUACUUAUUUUCAGCAUUUUAUCGGCUUUCAAAUGGUGUGUCUAAGGAGGUUUCCUUCCGUGAUUGGGUGAAUUUUUGGUUCAAAGGACCGGAGCGGUACAAAGAGCCUCCACCUCAGGGCCUUAAACAGCAAGCUAAACCAAAGUCAAAUCACAGUCCCAACGGCUACAUUGAUAUGUCAUUUUUACCACGAACGGAAGAAGAGAAUGUCCCUUUCAUCGAGUUAGGUGUGGAAGUGUCUCUUAGAGAAGAGACGAACUUGGCUGCUUUUCUUGCUUGCUGGAUUUGUAAGUUCGUUCUUCCAAUUAAGAAACUUGACUACAUCUGUUGUAGCGUCUUUAAGAUUGCAAGUCUAAUGGCUCAUGGGGAGAGGUUUGCACUAACAAUUCCCGUUUUGGCUAGUAUCUAUAGAGGCUUGACAGAGAUCACAACUUCAACAAACUUAGGUGCAGGCUACAUAAUUUUUUUCAUACAAUAUGUCUAUGGAUGGAUUGGUGUGUAUUUUAACUCCUACUAUCAAGCACGUCAUUACAAUAGUGCUCGUAUGCGUAGGAUUGUUGGGGAAAGGAUGGCUAGAAAUUUUGAUCUUUCUGGUGCAAGACGAUUAUUUCAAAAUGUCGAUAUCUGCAGUCUCCCCACCUUGUCCAUGCUACAACCCAAGGAGUUGUUUAUAGUAGACAAUGGAGAAUUGUCUAGUUCUUGGAAUGAUUAUUUAAUUAGUCUUCGUUCGAGCUACGUUACCCUCCGGUGUGAUGAUCACUUUGUCAUGUACAGUCCCAUAGAUUCAGCCGACAGUUUGGAUUUGUUCAAGAUCUGCCUAAUAACUUCAUCAAACGAUUGUAUCUGCCUAAUAACUUCAUCAAAUGAUUGUACGACCAUAUGACAGCAUACUAAAAGAAUUAGCACAACUUUGGGACUCUUGCACUCGUCUUAGUAGUUCUUCAACCAUUAGUAUACUACCAUGUCCUGAAAGGCCUCUAACGACCAAUAGGUAUGCCAAUUGGUGGUAUAUUGGUCGAACAAACCUUGUUGGGCGGAAUAAAAUUAUCUUGAAAGUUCCCAUUCGUCCAUCGGAACAAGGUAAGUCUUCCACUUCCUCCAUUGUUAAGUCAAAGACGAGCCCGUUGCCUUCUAAGUCUUCACCUUCAAGGGGUAAGUUGGUGAAAACUAGAAAAGGAUCAAGUCGUCCUUCAUUAAGCGUUUUAGUAGAAAUGCCUUGGAGAUCUAGCGUCAAAAAAAAAAAAGAGAAAUAUUAGCAGGGUAUUAUUAUUUAUUUUUUACAAAAAAAAAAAAAGUAACCUUGUUCUGCGAGUUCAGGCAAUGUCAUAAUGGAGCUAGGGUCAUUUACAGAAAAUGCCUCGCUGUCUAUAGUAGCAAUGUCCAAAUCAACAAACUCGCUAGAUUUGUCUUUUGCCUUCUUUCUUUUGCGUUUCCAAUGUUGUUCUUGAUCUCCUUCCAUUGAGCUAGUGUCACCAUUAGCAUCUACAACUUCAUUAACUAUGUGGAUAGGUAGAAUAUUAUCUUCGAGUGGUGUUUUGGUUGGCAUUUUUCCACUAUUAAUCUCAAGCAAAGAAGAAUCAUUGUUUCGCUUGCAAGUUUUGUUCGAAGCCACAGAAGGAGUGUCAUUCAAUUUCAAUGAAGGACGACUUGAUCAUUUACCAGUUUUCACCAACUUACCCCUUGAAGGUGAAGACUUAGAAGGCAACGGGCUCGUCUUUGACUUAACAAGGGAGGAAGUGGAAGGCUUACCUUGUUCCGAUGGACGAAGGGGAACUUUCAAGAUAAUUUUAUUCUGCCCAACAAGGUUUGUUCGACCAAUUGGCAUACCUAUUGGUAGUUAGAGGCCUUUCAGGACGUGGUGGUAUAAUAAUGGUUGAAGAACUACUAAGACGAGUGCAAGAGUCCCAAAGUUGUGCUAAUUCUUUUAGUGUGCUGUCAUAUGGUCGUUUGAUGAAGUUUCCAGGCAGAUCUUGAACAAAUCCAAAUUGUUGGCUGAAUCUAUGGGGACUGUAAGGUUCUAUGACAAAGUGAUCAUCACACCGGGGGAUAACAAAGACUAAUGAAAUAAUCGUUCCAAGAACUAGACAAUUCUCCGUUGUCUGCUAUAAACAACUCCUUGGGUUGUAGCAUGGACAAGGUGGGGAGACUGCAGAUAUCGACAUUUUGAAAUAAUCGUCUUGCACCAGAAAGAUCAAAAUUUCUAGCCAUCCUUUCCCAGCAAUCCUACACAUACGAGCACCAUUGUAAUGACGUGCUUGAUAGUAGGAGUUAAAAUACGCACCAAUCCAUCCAUAGACAUAUUGUAUGGGAAAAAUUAUGUCGCCUGCACCUAAGUUUGUUGAAGUUGUGAUCUCUGUCAAGCCUCUGUAGAUACUAGCCAAAACGGGAAUCGCUAGUGCAAAUCUCUCCCCAUGAGCCAUUAGACUUGCAAUCUUAAAGACGCUACGACAAAUGUAGUCAAGUUUCUUAAUUGGAAGAAUGAACUUGCAAAUCCAGCAAGCAAGAAAAGAAGCCAAGUUCGUCUCUUCUCUAAGAGACCCUUCCACACCUAACUCGCUGAAAGGGACGUUCUCUUCUUUCGUUCGCGGUAAAAAUGACAUAUCAGUAUAGCCGUUAGAACUGUGAUUUGACUUUGGUUUAGCUUGCUGUUUAGGGCCCUGAGGUGGAGGCUCCUUGUACCGCUCUAGUCCUUUGAGCCAAAAAUUUACCCAAUCACGGAUAGAAACCUCCUUAAACGCACCAUUUGAAAGUCGAUAAAAUGCUGAAAAUUAGUAAGCACAAGUUUUAGGCAAAAACAGCUUCCCUUGCUGAUCUGUUUGUGACAAUUCUUUGGUCGAAGGGACGACUUCAUCAAAGAAAGUUCUGUGUACUGGAAGGCCCCCAAUCAUAUGAAUUUGCCACAAUGAAAUAGAAAGCUCCCCAAUGUCGACACAUAUUAUAUUAGUCGAGGAAUGCCAAAGUUCACAAAAGGCCUGCAAAAUAUUCUCGUCGUACGGAAUAAAGAGGUGAAAACAACGUCAUAAAUCUUAGUUUGUUCCAGCACCUCCUUUCUACGGCAAAGUACAUCCUAUACCCACUCCCAAUAGCAAGUAACAUAACAAAACUCACCAAAACCUGAUUGGGGAUAAUUCCAUGUAGCAAGGCCCGGCUUUAGGAUAUGUAGCAGCAGAUUCUUUGUCAUGUGUAGAUGAAUGCAGCACAAAAGCAGUAGUAUUAAUGACCUUAUUGAAGUCAAGGACAUCAAUUUCUUCUUUUUUCGACCAUUUGUCUAGAUGAAGGGACAUGUCAGGUGAUCCUCUGUCAAGCGAGAAGGCACCUAUUACCGGAGGAUGAACUUUCAAGAUAAGGACGCUAGCAGGUGAGUAUUUCUCAUCGUUUGCUAUUUCAAGUAGAGGAUAUGGUGUUGCUUGGUCCCGGAAGUUCACCAUAUUUUCAAAGCAUUGAAGAUAUCCUCUUUGUGUUUGAAGACUUGCCAAAGAAAUUAAAUUAAAUGGUAAGUCUGCUAAAGAAAAAAGGAGUAUCGCAAGAUUUAGGUUGUAACUUCAAAAAUUUACCUGAGAAAAUAUAGAAGUUUUAUGCUGCUGGAUUUCAUGCGUAAUGUAUAUCUGAGAGUCUACUUUCCAAUGCAAAAAACGGUGCCUGAUUCCGAUACUUCCACGUCGAUAUAUGGAAUUUAUCGUGACGCUGCGCAAAGCUGAAAUAACUAGCGAACCAAGAUUAGAAGACGUUUUUGGAGAGAUAUCUGGGACGAUUCGGAUGCAAUCUGAUUGUGGUUUCCACACGAGAUUUAGCUCUAUGAAUAUAAUUUCCAAUGAAAAAAAUGACACCUGAUUCUGAUACUUUCACGUCGAGAUAUGGAAUUUAUCGUGACACUGCGCAAAACUGAAAUAACUAGCGAACCAAGAUUAGUGGCCGUCUUUGGAGCGAUAUCUGGGAUGAUUCGGAUGUAAUCUGAUUGUGGUUUCUGCGUUAGACGUAUCUCUACAAAUCUACUUUCUAAUGCAAAAAACGGAACCUGAUUUCGAUAUUUCAACGUCAAGAUAUGGAAUUUAUCGCGACGAUGCGCAAAGCUGAAAUAACUAGCGAACCAAGAUUAGAAGACCAUUUUUGGAGCAAUAUCUGGGACGAUUCAGAUGCAAUUUGAUGCUGGUUUACUCGAGAGAUGUAGAUCUACGAGUCUAGUUUCCAACGCAAAAAACGGAUCCUGAUUUUGAUGUUCCUAUGUCAAGAUAUGAGAGUUUUCGUGAGACUGCAGAAAACAAGUAAAAAGUGACGAAACAGAACUGAAGGUCUGAUUUUGAAACGAUACCUGGGCAGAUAUGGAGAUAAAUCGAGCCUGGUUUUUGAGUAGAACGUAGCCUCAUGAGUCUACUUUCCAAAACUACAAGUCGUUUGUGAUUCAGACACCUCCACGAUGAGUUAUGAAGCUUCUUCCACAAACGCCUCAAAGUGCCCGAAAGCUCAAUUAUGAACAAAGAGCAAAAAAAAAAGAUUAGAAUGGGAGUUGAAUUUCUGCUCAGGAUGAAUUACAAUGACAUAAUGGGGCGGUGAUGUCUUUAUAUAGACUCUAAAAGGCCCCAUUUUGAUUUCAAAAAGGAAUUUGCUGAACAAGUUGUCUUCAAGAAGAACUGAGACAUCCAAGUGUCCAAAACAAGUCAAAUUCCUAAUCCUUUUCAAAGUGGGAUAACAUCAUUAUUUAAUCCUAUUAAAAUUUGAUAUAAGACUAAUACCCGAAUUCUACAAGGUUUGGAUAUAUUUAGUUUUAAACAGAAUUUUACAUUCCUAAGGAAGGGAUUCACGUUAUUCUACCUAAAUUAUGAUGACUUCGAGGAGUCGAAUUUCAACAAAGUGCUCAAAGUCUUGCAAAAAAAUAAAAAAUGAGGGCUCCACAAAUACUUCAAAUCUCGUCUCUAACAGGUCCGACAAAUAAAACACCUUGACGAGCUUUGAAGUAGGGGGCCUCUGUAGACACGUAAAAUUUAUUGGGUCAAAUUCAUAUAAAAAUUGAAUUUGACCCAUAUUUUAUUGGGUCUAAAAUUACUUUGGGCUAUUAAAAUAAUAAGCCCAUUUUAUUCCUCAUCAAGGACUUCAAGGUCCAUCUCACCUUGAGACCCAAACUUAUGCCACGUGUCAAGUGAUGUGGCAUCCCAGUCAAAUUAAAGACCAAUGAAGCAAGACCAUACACAUCAAAUGAUGUGGCAAUCCAAGGCAAGUUCAAGAGCCAAUAAAAAUCGCCAAGUGUCCCAAAUGACAUAUUUUUGGCCAAUCACAAGCAACCUUGUCACAUAACAUUUGUGAUAAGCUUGAAAAUUGAAUGGACCAAUCAGAAUGAGGCAAAAGAGGUUAUUUACACUUGGACUGCCUACCCCCUACAACUAUAAAUAGGAGGGUUAUACAAUUUUUUGGAGUCAUUCUGCAAGCAGUAAAGGAAAUUUCUGCAUUGACUACACAGCUCUUCAAAGAAUUGACUAACGGAGUUCUGCCCAAAGAUCAACUCGACAAGACGAAGUGUUGUCUGGCAUUCUUGGAGAUCCAAACACAUUUCUAGGAGGUUCAAAUCAUCUUAUGUUCGAGAAACACGCUACAAAAGGCCCUCGAAUCACAGAAAAGCUUAGGAGAGAAGAAUAGAGAGAAUAAUGAAAUUGUACCUGCAAAAUUCAUUUAAAUAAAAUUAUUCUUGUUGUUUAUUUUAAUUUUUGCUUGCAGUUAAUUUUUCGCACAACAAAAAUUUGUUGUAAACAUACCUACAAUAAACUUUUGUUAUAGUUCAAUCAUCAAACUUUUGUUAUAGUUCAAUCAUUUACACAGUAGGAGCUUUAGUUCAUCAGAAUGUCCUUUGUUCUUUAGGACACUACUGUAUGCAAGUUUGAAUAAGUUAUUUGCUUUUGAUGGUCAGCUUUUGAUGGUCAAUUCAUUAUUAAAAAGUUAUUAUUUUUUCACUAAAAAAUGUUUAGUGGUUAUUUCCAAAAUUAUUUUGAUUGAAUUAGGUGAGAAAAGAAAAAAUAGCAGUGUUUUCACAUGAAAAAAUUAGGAUAUUUUUCGGCGGUGGCGGAGCCAGAAUUUUCACUAAGGGGAUUCAUUAGUGAACAUACGAACUAACCAAAAGGGGUUCAACAUCUACUAUAUAUACAUAAAAAAUAAUUUUAAUCAUGUAUAUAUAAAAUAAUUUUUCGUAGAAGAAGGUUAGGAUGAACCCCUAAUCCAAGGUAGCUCCGCCCCUAUUUCCUGGUGUUUCAAUGAAAAUUUAUUUUCACUAUGCAUUUUCCCAGUAAGCUGGUUCAAUAAUCAUGUUUUAUAACACUAAUUUUCAUUGGGAAAAAGUCUAUAGUUUUAGUAGUGACCGGUGGGUGUCAAUAAAUUAAAUUUGUUACACUUAUCUUCACAUAUGGCAAAAUAGAUGAAUGAAUGAGUCCAUAACUACCCUUGUGAUCUUGAGUUGAUUUUGUUACUAUUAGUAUUUUCGUGCUUCAAAUUAAGCUUUUUGUUAUAAAUAAUAAAUUGAUCUUAGAAUAAGUGUCGGCAAGUUGCUUGGAUGGUAAGCAACCAUCUCUUUCAAGUUUUUUUUUUUUUUUUUAAAUUGGGGGUAGGGGAAGGGGAAUGGGGGAGGGGAUUACAAUGGAGAAUCGAACCCCUCACCAACAAGGUGGAAGUUCAGAUAACUAAGCUACUAAGAUUCCCUUUCAAGUUUCAACCAUGACGUUGUGAAUUCAAGUGCACCAAGAGAGCGAAAAGGUAGGGUUUAUACUAACAAGUGGAGGAAAGAACCCUCAUAUUUUAGUGUUCAGCAACAGAUAAAAUAAGAUUCUCAUAUCCCCCUCCAAAAAAAAAGGUUUGACUGUACAUUCGAUCCUUAUGCUCUGCAAGGGCAUGAUUGAGCGGUUGAGAGGUGAGUUUUUCAUAUGGGCGACCAGGGAUUGCAUUCAGUAUCCGUCUGUCGCUCAGCCACUUGCGAGUUAUUGCACAGUAAAUAGUUUACCACAAAGUGCUCAUCCGAAGGACAGAGGCUAUAACAGAGAUUGUGGGUUUCCCUGGAGGUUCCAAAAAACUAGGUGAUCUCAAGUACCCAAUUUUUCCAAGUUAAUUGACUUUGUGACCUCCUGGUCAUAUGACAAUUGCUCAAAUUUCUGACAUUAGCAGUACUCAAUUUAAUCAAGUUAAUUGACUCUUGCGACCUUCCGGUCAUACAAUCACAAUUUUACCAGUUACUCCAUACUCUUCUUUUGCAAGAUCCAUUACCUAAGUGAAUGGAAUAGGCCAUUAUAAUCCUUCCUUGUGCAUCUCUAAUGACUCCUCCUCCCCCACAUGAACCAUUUUCUUAGGCUCCCAUCACUUUAAAACUUAAAGAAUUUGUUGGUUGGUUUGCUCCAGUAUAUAAUCCUGCAUGAUUUCAUUAGUUACUUUACAUUUCAAGCUCAUCAUCUCCUCCCUGCCCAUCUAGCAUUUCCUUUUGGAUCCCCAAUCUUUGAUCAUACCACCCCCACCACUCCCGUGUUGGGCUAAAUACUUUCAAAGACACUCUUAAAUGUUAUUGUUAAGUUUAUGUUUCAAUAAAUUUUGAAACAAAUACAUCGGUUAAAAAUUUUUAGAGUUAUGUUUUAAUUAGUUUUGAAACAAAUGCAUCACUUAAAGGACUUUAAGUUACAAAGAAAAUGAAUGUGAAUCUUAUAAUUUAUUUAUUAAGUCUUACAUUUUAGGUUCUUGAAAGAAUGACAUUUUUUGUUUUGAAAUAUACAUGAACCUAUUAACUAUUACUUAAUUAAUACUCUUUUCUUGCAUGAAACUUUUAUCCUAUAAAUAGUGUUUCUUUUGUUUGAAAAGACAAGCACUCAAAAAAAAUAUUUUCCCCUUGAAAAACAUUUGAGAAACAUUGAUCAAAUGGUGAAAUCACCAAUUCAAGAAUAGAAGAGCAACAUUCUUGAAUGCUACUUGUUUUGUAGCUUAGUUGAAUCCAGAAUAUAGAGUUGUUACUAAUUCUUCCGUUUGCUCGUGGGAGAGACUCCAGCUAUCAUCAAGAAGCGUAUUAUCGUGCCUCUAAUCCAAGCAAGUUUUAUUUUAAUUUCUUGUACAAUUAUCAUUAUUGUUCUAACAAUUUGAAGAUAAUUGUCUCUAUGGCUUCUACAUCAAUAUCAAAUAAUAUUCCAUCUCUGCCUAAUCCUAAUUUUGAAAUAUUUGAUGGCAAAGACUUUCCUAGAUGGCGUGGAAACAUGGAAUCCUUUUAUUCCACCUUUUCCUAAUGCUCCUGGUUCUAAGGUAGCAUCUGACGAGACUACUUUGAUAAAAGAACAAAUUGUCAAGUGACAAUAUAAUGAUUACUGGUGAAAGAAUUAUAUUCUUGGUGGAAUAUCCGACAAAUAUUAUGAUCAAUAUUAUAUUAAAUACAAAUAUGCUAAAGAGAUAUGGGACACUCUUCAAGCUAUUUAUUUAGCAGAAGAGGCGAGUUCUAAGAAAUUUCUUGUUUCAAAUUAUACGGAGUUCAAAUUGGUUGAUGACAAGUCAAUCACUGAAAAAGUACAAGAAUUCCAACUUAUAGCUAAUAAAAUUGAUAUAUCUGAAAUUGCUAGCUCUUGAUGAAAACUUUCAUGUUGGUGCUAUUGUAUCAAAACUUCCUCCAUCUUGGAAAGAGUAUCGAAGCAAACUCUUACACAAAAAGGAAGAUUUGACUCUUGAACAAUUGUUGCAACAUUAUAAAUUGAACAAGAUACACGAUAUCGUGAAAAUAAUAUUUUGAAAGAAUCUGUCAUGAAAGCUCAUAUUGUUACAGAAAAAUCAACCAAGAAGAAACCAAAAAGUAAGAAUUUUUCAAAGGCAAAAAUAACUACAAAUUUCAAUCGUAAUGAUGUCAAUUUUAAAUCUGAUGAAUGCUACAAUUGUCAAAAAGUUGGUCACUAUAUGCAUGAUUGUAGAAUUCUCAAAGCCUAAAAGAAAAAAGAGAAGGAAAAUAAAAAUAAAAAAGAUGACUUUUUGGCAAUGGUCACAGAAGUAUUUGUAGCGGAAGAUCAAGUGGAAUGGUAGAUAGAUAAAGGUGCAACUUGUCACAUAUCAAGUAACCGAAAUUCUUUCAAAACUUAUGAAUUAGUAAAGGACGGUAAAAUUUUAUAUAUGGAAAAUUUCUCCUCUACUAAAGUUGUCGAAAAAGGAACUGUUGAACUGAAAUUUACUUUCGGAAAGAUAGUUACAUUGAUAGUCGUAUUGCAUAUUCCUAAUAUUUGAACUGAUGUCAGGUACACUUCUUUCGAAGCAAGAUUUUAAAAUGAUUUUUGAGGCAGAUAAGUUUAUUUUAUCUAAAAAUGACAUGUUUGUUGGAAAAUGCUAUGUUGCAAAUGGAAUGUUUAAACUCAAUAUUAAAAAUAAAAAUAUUUUUGCUUAUCUUGUGGAGUCUAUGGACUUAUGGCAUAAGCGUCUUGGUCAUGUGAAUUUUAGAUCCAUUCAACUUAGAGUGAAUAAUAGAUUAAUCAAAGACUGUGGAAAGAAUCAUACUACUAAAUGUCUUGUAGUAAAAUCCAAGAUUACAAAGAAGCUCUUUAAGACAGUUGAAAGAACUUUCACACUUUUACGAUCAAUCUAUACUGAUAUUUGUGAGAUGAAUUAUUUAUCACGUCAUGAAAAGAGGUAUAUUAUUACCUUUAUUAAUGACUACUCAAGAUAUAUUUAUGUCUUUCCAUUGAAAACAAAAGAUGAAAUAUUUGAGACUUUCAAAACAUACAAAACAAAGGUUGAAAAUAAAUUGAGUUUGAAAAUUAAAUCAAUUAGGUCUGAUAGAGGUGGAGAGUAUUUAAAGUUGGAUUUUGUUGAUUUUUGUGAAAAAAAGCCAUUGAAAAACAAUUUAUCAUAUCCUAUACACCACAAUAAAAUGGUGUAGCAGAAAGAAAAAAUAGAACUUUCAUAGAAAUGAUUAAUUCUAUGCUUUAUGGAUCUGGUAUGUCUGAAAAUUUGUGGACUGAAGUCUUACUUUCAGCAUGUCAUAUUUUAAAUAAAAUUACUUUCAGGAAUCAUGAUGCAUCUCCAUAUGAACUUUGGAAUAAUCGAUAGCCAAAUAUAAAUUAUUUUAAAAUAUGGGGUUGCUUAGCUCAUGUUCGAUUACCAGAUCAACAUUUAACUAAGAUUGGCUAUAGAGAAGUAGAUUGUGUGUUUAUUGGUUAUUCACAAACUAGUAAGGCUUAUAGAUUUUUAAAUCUUGAGACCCCAAGUCCUCACACAAUUAUUGAAUCUUUACAUGCUAACCUUUUUGAGCAUAUAUUUUCCAAAAAAAAGAUUCAUUUUAACAAGAUGCAAGUUCUUCUAUUUCUCAUCUUAAAAGAAAAAUAGUUGAGCCAUUAAAAUUAAGUUAACCAAGACGUAGUUCAAGAUCAGCCAAACCAAAGGACUUUGGACCUGAUUUUCAAGCUUACUUGGUUGAAAAAAGAUCCUGAAAGUUAUGUUGAAGCUAUGUCUUCACAUGAUGAUCCCUUUUUGGCGUGAAGCCAUUGAUGAUGAAAUGCAUUCUAUCAUGUCUAAUAAUACAUGGAUAUUUCAGAUCUUCCUCCUAGAUGUAAAUUAAUUGGUUGUCGAUGGAUAUUUAGGAAGAAAAUGAAAUUUGAUGGUACUUUAGAUAAGUACAAAGUCCGUUUGGUAGCUAAAGAUUUUACUCAAUUGAAAGAUAUUGAUUAUUUUGAUACUUUUGCACCCGUAGCUCGGAUGACCUCUAUUCAUCUCUUAUUGCUCUAGCAAAAAGUCAUGGUCUUGUGUUUCAUCAGAUGGAUGUGAAGACUUCAUUCUUGAAUGGAGAUCUAGACGAAGAAGUUUGCAUGAAAUAACCAGAAGGAUUCAUUCUUGGUCAAGAAAGUAAAGUUUGUAAGCUUCUUAAAUCUCUUUAUGGAUUAAAAUAAGCUCCAAAGCAAUGACACGAUAAGUUUAGAAAAGUUAUGAUUUCUAAUGGCUACUUAAUUAAUGGUAGAUAUAUAUGCAUAUUUAGUAAAUUUCAAGAAAAUUCUGGUGUUAUAAUAUGUCUUUAUAUAGAUGACAUGUUGAUCUUUGAAAUUGAUAUCGAAAGAGUCAAAGAAAUAAAAUAUUUUCUUGCUUUUCAUUUUGAAAUGAAAAAUCUUGGACAAGCUGAUGUAAUUUUAGGCAUCAAAAUUGUAAGAUCAGCAAAUAAUUUGACUCUUACUCAAUAAAGUUAUAUUGAGAAGGUUUCAAAGAGGUUUGGUCAUUCUGAUGACAAACCUUCUCCAACAAUAUUUGAUCCUAUCAUCAAACUAGUGCGGAACUCUGGUGAUAUUCUUGAUCAAUUGAAAUAUUCUAAAAUUGUUGGGAGUCUUAUGUAUGUCAUAAGAAUGGUUAUGCAGGCCAGAUAUUGGUUAUGCAGCUGAAACUUUGAGUAAGUUUACUGGUAGCCCUAGGGUUGAGCAUUAGAAUGUCUUAAUUUGUGUUUUAAGGUAUCUGAAAGGUACAAUUAAUGUUGGCCUGCAUUUUUCUACCUUUUUAGCAGUUCUUGAAGGCUAUAGUGAUGACACUUGAAAUUUUGAUCGAAUGACUCUAAAUCUAUUACUGCUUGGAUUUUCACUUUAGCUAGAGCAGCAAUAUCUUGGAGACCAAAGAAGCAGACAUAUAUUACUCACUCAAUC
rnacentral:lncRNA from 1 species